UACGGAGGGGGCUAGCGUUGUUCGGAAUUACUGGGCGUAAAGCGCACGUAGGCGGCUUUGUAAGUCAGAGGUGAAAUCCCGGGGCUCAACCCCGGAACUGCCUUUGAGACUGCAUCGCUUGAAUCCAGGAGAGGUGAGUGGAAUUCUACGUGUAGCAGUGAAAUGCGUAGAGAUGUGGAGGAACACCGAUGGCGAAGGCAGCCCCCUGGGUUAACACUGACGCUCAGGCACGAAAGCGUAGGGAGCAAACAGG
rnacentral:rRNA from 1 species